GUCUUGGUGUCUCGGGGGCGUAAUGAGGAGGAGCCCUGCUGCGGGCUAGGAAUCGGCACCCAAGACCAGCUCCGGGUCACCCCAGGACUGAUGUUCAUUACCUGGGGAGAUAAAAUCUCUUCCAGGACCUUUGUGAGCGGACCGCAGCCUCCCUGGCUGGCCUUCCCUGGCCGCGUCCCUACCCGCAGUGCCGAGAGCCCCGGCUGGCGCCCCUGAGCCGCUGCACCUGCAGAGCGUGGCCGCCCCCGCCCCCGCAGCCCGCAUCUCCUCCCGCCCCCACCUCUCCCUCCCGAGGCCCCCCGACAGGCCAUCUCUGGUCUCAAUUCUGACCAAAGCAGUGAAAUAAAAGGCGGCAGACGCGCCGCUGUGUGCCAUCGCCCAUCAAACGUUCUGUUUGAUGUAAAAGGCAGUCUUGCUUUGAUGGUCCCUGCAGCCUGCCCCGCGGAGGACGUGACGUCAGGGCCCACCCCCCGCCCGUCUGCCUUCCCCGGCGCCGGCGCAAAGCCUGUGUGCAGUAGAUGCUCAGUAAAAUGUGAGCGGGACACGCUCUGAAACACCGUGGGAACCACCUGGAGCUACUAUCGCUUUAGCUCAUGUGUUGCCCACUUUUUGAGCUUCAUGUUAGGAGAGACUUCAGAUACGCUCAAAAGGAGAGAAAGCAGCUCCCGUACGGUCAGCUCCGUCACCUGCCUCCAACCAGUACCGACCUUCCAUCAACCUGAUGCCGUCCACCUACCACUUUCUUUCUUUUGCAAGACUAUUUCUGUGCCCGACGUGGGUCCAGCGUUGCACCUCCCUGACUGAGGCAUCGCUAUGGCAACAGAGGGAGGACCGGCCGCGUCCACGGAUGAAGCGUGUAAGGCCCCGUAAACAGAGUGACAAGGGACAAGGGACCUCUCCAGCUCCCGCCUCGCGGAGCAUCCGUUGUUCAGAGACGUGCCUGCGAUCAUCUCCUUCGCCUUCAAGGGUGUCACUGGCCCAGAACGCGAGGGAGGAGGGCCCAGCGAUGCUCAGAGGACCGGAGGGGAGGAGCCCGGAGACCGCGUACACGCCGCGCACCCCAAGCGCCGGGGCUCAGGCGGGCUGGGGCUGUGCUGGGGGCCCGCGCGGCUCGGGUGUGCAGGGUGCUGGCCUGGGGCGCUCCCCGCGGUGGCCGCGGUGCCAGCAGUGAUGGUGGUGACGACCGUGCGCUCACCUGUGCUGCACCCUGAGCGGGCGGCGGGCGGUGUCCCGUGCGGCCUGCGGGCGGGCUCACCCCACACCCCACCCCGUGCCCUCCUGGCUGGGUCCCAUG
rnacentral:lncRNA from 12 species